CAGCUGAUGAGGUCGUGAGUGAUGAUCAGGGACUGAUGACUAGGCGAGAGGCUCCGGGGCGAGCCACUAGUUGCCCACAGGAACCUGUGUAAGCCGAGCUCUCGAGCGGCUGAGUUGAAUGAAGUUAUGACUGCGUUUGCUCUAAUGGGUUAUGGCUUCUCAGAUAGUUCCCACGAAGGGGAGCCCACCCACGGCGUCAGAGGCCCUGGUCGCGGUGCCAUUGACUGCAGGGACGAGGCAGAGAGAUGCCGCGGAAGAUGGUGGAUAGCUGUGAAGUUUCGGACCACCCAGCCCUUCCCAAUUUCCAGCUUCUCUCCGCCAAUCAAAAGUGCUGUGUUUGAAUGUCUUUCGUGCUUCCCGAUGUGCAAAAACUCAGUUACACCAUAGGAUGUUGACAGAGAAGCAUUGUCCAUGACUUUGCGUAUGAGAUCCUAACAUGUUCAUCUGAUCCCUGAAGCUCAGAGCUGGGAGGACUUGCAGGCCACUCCAGUCAACCCCCUCAUUUACCGCAGGGGAAUGGAGAGCUCACAGAGUUGAGAAUCAUGCAGUUUUGUCUGUUUGGCAUUGGAAUAUAUGCGCUCCCC
rnacentral:lncRNA from 1 species